AAUAUAUUGUAAACUGAAUACUUGAAUAGUUGAAAGAAGAUAAACUCCAAAACACCAAAACAUAACCGAUCCAAAGGAACCGGCACUGGUUGUAACCCCCACCAACCUAGCCACAUCACCCACCUCAUACUCUUCCAGAAACUUCUCCAUAUUCUCCCACGUCGCCGGCUUAUGUCCUCGUCCACUGUUGUUGCGUUCCUCCACUCUCUGGCGCCAUAUAUCACAAUCAGCAUGCCUACACUCAAUAAUAAGAAGUUGAGCGGAAAACGAGGCGGCGAGUUCACGAAGAGGGUGGAGGUGGGCCCUACGAGAAAGAGGGGAAUCGAGAACAACGUUGAGGCCGAGGCUAAGUUGAGUUGAUGCAAUCUGUCAGAUGAUGUCGUAUGAUAGGUCAUUGAGAAAAGAACGGGGUUUUGGAUAUUUUUGAAUUGCAUGUAUAUCCAACAAACUUUCUCUUCCACACGCAUUUUCCAUGGAUUGGUGGCAAAGGUACUGAGAGAAGAAAGGGAAAUAAUUGUUGAAUAAUUUUAUAUAUUUUCACUUUUGUCAGUUUCAUCCCAAUUUUUUUUCUUUUUCAUUUUUCAAUUACAUCCACAUAAGUAAUGUAAACUGAAUUGCCGUAAAUCUAGUUCACAUAUAUAUGAAUUUAAUGCAGAUAACAUAUUUGGAUGUAAUUGAAAAAAACAUAGGUGAAAUUAGUUACUAUUUGAUACUCUUUACUUAUUUAUAUUACAUAAAAUUGUAUUUGUUUUA